CACUAUGUGGGGAGCCAGCGGUGCCUUGUAGCCUGCAAUCCGCUAUAGCAGGACAGAAUGCCCGGCAAGGUGUAUUCUAUGAGAGGUCAGCCGUUGUCAAGAAGAUGUUGAUGUCGGGGUCUCGUGCGAUUUUGCGUUGUGAACCGUGUCAGGGCUUGACGGCAGCAGCACUAAGCAAUCAGCAAAAUGUGCCACGAGGAAGCUUCGGCGGAGUCGUCUUACAACGU
rnacentral:SRP_RNA from 1 species